ensembl:lncRNA
UACCAGAAGACGAAUUAAAAGAUUUCGUAUUUUUAUUAAUGUAUGAUAGACAAAACAAAUUCGAAUAUGAUUCAAUUGUUAGCACAAAUGACAUAAGUAGCCCCAAUAGAUUAAACGUUUACAACGUUACGGCUAUUGAUAGUAUUAUCACCAAUAACAGUGCCAUUACUACUACAAAUUGUGUCGUUACAGGUGCCGAUAAAAAGGACGACAACGACGACGAUGACGACUGUCCAAUCAAAAACGAAGUUACAAACAUUAUUAACAAAAUAAACAAAUUUUAUUAUUAUAUAAAAUUUUUUAAAUUUGAAAAAAAAAGCAAUCAGACAAACGAAUAUUAUACAAAUUUUGAGAAAUCCAUUCGUACCAUACUAGGUAAUACUAUCACAAUCCAAAUAAAUGAAAACAAAAAAAAUAAUUUAAAAAAAUCUAAUACAUAUACUAAUUAUUUUAGUGAUAAUAAACAAUAUUUUGAUAAAAAUAACAGUUUAACAGUUAAUAAAAUAAACAUCACUUCUUGUACUCAUGUGGAUGAUAAAAAAGAGUUUUCUAACAAUUUAAAUGACAAUACACAUAAUGAUAUUAUAGAAACUAAAAGUCCAACUAGCCAAAAUGAUACAUAUAACACAUCAGUGAAUUCAUUUGAUAACUUAAAAGAUUCAAGGAAUAUAAAUCAAAAAUGUAUGAUAGACAAUUCUGAAAGUAAAGUCAUUAAUCAGUUACACAAUCAAAUGGAACAUACAAAAGAAUAUAUUGACAAACAUGUAGGAGUAGAUAUAAAAACAAGUGGAAAUAAUGAUACUCAUGAUUAUUUUCAACCAAAGGCAAUUAAUAAAAAAAAAACAAAAUCCUUUUAUAUUCAUAACGAAAGCGAUAGAGAUAGCGACUAUGGUAAUAGCUAUAAGAAUGGUGAGAAUGGUGAGAAUGGUGAAAACAACGAAAACGACGAAAACAAUGAUGUAAGUAUACAAAUUUCUGACGGCUAUUUUAAUGAAAGCCAAUCGUUUAUUAAUCUAGGCUUUUCUACUGUAGAAGAUUAUUCACCCAUGUUAACUAGUAAUAAAUCACAAACACAAUCAAAGAAUACUUUUAUAUUAACUAAAAAUAAACAGAAUUGUGAUUCAUUAGUUAUGGAUACGGAAGACAUCCAAAACAGUAGUCAGUUGGAUUAUGAUUCUAACAAUUAUAAAAAAGGGGAAAAAAUAAAUGAACAAGAAAUAAGAACAUAUUACGCAAAAAGUAGUAGUGAAAGUUCUAUUUAUGCAUAUGUAGAUAAUAAGACCGUCACGAACGAGUCUGUUGUAUAUAUGAAUGAUAACAACAGCGGUGGCUUCGAAAAAUACCAAGACGAUGGUGACCAUGUAAACAGUGUCAAUCAUAGUGAAGAUCAAAAUAAUGGUAAGAAAAUGAAUAAUAAUAUGAACGAUUCAGGUAAUUUUGAACAUAAUUCUUUUAUAAAAUAUAAUGGACAUUUUAAAAUGUCACAGAGGGUAGUAAAUGAUGUAGAUAAUAAGGGAGUGUCUGAUAAUGUAUACGAUGACAAAUCUAAAAACGCACAUGAUCAAAGACACACUUUGAUAUAUAAACAGAAUUUGAAUGGUAUAACAAAUGAUGAUAAAAUUUAUAUUAAUAAUUCAAUAAAUAAUUAUGAAAAAUAUUCUGAACGGUCAGGUAAAAAUACAAAUAAUUAUGUCAGCAGUCAUAAUAAAUCAAAUGAAUACGAAAAAUAUAAUAAAAAGAAGGAACAAUGUAAAACGUCUUUAAAUGAACAAAGUCCUAUAAAUGAUAAAAAUAGUAAAAUAAAUAAAGGUACAUCGUUAAAUAUAAAAAAAGAAAUAGAUCGUAGUAACACGGACAACAACAUACACCAUAUGAACAAUAUGCAUAAUAUCGAAAAGAAGAAUGACAGUCAUUACAAACAAGACUAUACGCACAAGUAUAAUAGUUAUUACUAUGACACGAAUCAAGAUAACAAAUUGGAAACUUAUAUGGAUGAACAAAUAAAUAUGCACAAUACUAGUAUGAGUAUAUGUGAAAGCAACAACUAUUACAAUUAUAAAAAUAAAAAUAUACUAGACCAAAGCAACAAUAGCAAUUAUAUUGUGAGUAAAAAUAAUAUUCGUUAUUUAGAUACACAAAAGUAUGAACAUGAUGAUAAUUACAUCGAUACGAAUGACAACUUUAUUUCUGAAAAUCUUGGUAAAAAGGUGAAACAACAUUAUAGAGACUCUUCUAGGUUUAAUCAUAUGGACUUAUCUGAUAAUGCAUACGAAUUAAGGGAAACAGGUAUGUUAGGUACAACUAACGAUCAUGUAUUUCAUAAUAACCUAAAUGAUUUUAGUUUUAGUCAUAACAGUUAUGAACCCACAAUAUGUGCAGGUGAUUUUAAUAAUUUUAGCAAAAGUGGCGAAAAACAAGUAGGUUCAGAUGCAAAACAAAAAACGAAAGAAACAUAUAUAAACAAAGAACCAAACAUAAUAAAAUCUGAUUUUUAUUUAGAUAAAGAGAAGUAUUACACUUCUUUUAAUCAAAUCGAAAAAAAUAUAAAUUUGAAUAAUACGAAAAAAUAUAUAAACGCAAAUAGUACGACUGGAACCCAAUUGGAAAGAAAUAAUAACAAUAAUUACCUUUUUAGUUUGAAUAAACAAACGGUAGAAAAUGUUAACCUAUUUAAUAAUAGUGAUAGUGGUGGUGAUAAUGGUGGCGAUAGUGGUGGCGAUAGUGGUAGUGAUAGUGGUAGUGAUAAUAAUAUUAACGAGUAUAGUAAAGAAAAUAUUACAAUUAGUAACAUACAAAAGACAAAUACUGAAGAUACGAUUAUAAAACAUAUAAAUGAAGAUUUUACAUACUACGAAAAUGUAAUUAAUACUAUCAACGACAAUAAAAAUAACAAAUCGGGUAAUCCUACGAAUGAUAAUUUUUUGAAUAAAAAUAAUUUUUUUUUGUUGAAAAAAAAAAAAGGAGAUAAUAGGUUAAACAAAUGGCUAAACAAAAUA